CAGCCGCCGCGGUAAUACGGAGGGAGCUAGCGUUGUUCGGAAUUACUGGGCGUAAAGCGCACGUAGGCGGCUUUGUAAGUUAGAGGUGAAAGCCUGGAGCUCAACUCCAGAAUUGCCUUUAAGACUGCAUCGCUUGAAUCCGGGAGAGGUGAGUGGAAUUCCGAGUGUAAAGGUGAAAUUCGUAGAUAUUCGGAAGAACAUCAGUGGCGAAGGCGACCACCUGGACUGAUACUGACACUGAGGUGCGAAAGCGUGGGGAGCAAACAGGAUUAGAUACCCCCGUAGUCCCUGUCUCUUAUAC
rnacentral:rRNA from 1 species